AUUGAACGCUGGCGGCAGGCCUAACACAUGCAAGUCGAGCGGAUGAAGGGAGCUUGCUCCUGGAUUCAGCGGCGGACGGGUGAGUAAUGCCUAGGAAUCUGCCUGGUAGUGGGGGAUAACGUCCGGAAACGGGCGCUAAUACCGCAUACGUCCUGAGGGAGAAAGUGGGGGAUCUUCGGACCUCACGCUAUCAGAUGAGCCUAGGUCGGAUUAGCUAGUUGGUGGGGUAAGUGCUUACCAAGGCGACGAUCCGUAACUGGUCUGAGAGGAUGACCAGUCACCCGGGAAGUGAGACAGGGUCCAGACUCCGACGGUGAGACGCAGUGGGGAAUAUUAGGCGAUGGGCGAAAGCCUGAUCCAGCAAUGCCGGGUGUGUGAAGAAGGUCUUCGGAUUGUAAAGCACUUUAAGUUGGGGGGAAGGACAGUAAGUUAAUACCUUGCUAUUUUGACGUUACCAACAGAAUAAGCACCGGCUAACUUCGUG
rnacentral:rRNA from 1 species